ACUCCCAGUGCUCAAGCAUUGCUUGGGCUUUUGCCAAGUGCAUACAGCUUGGCGAAUAAGUGGUGGGUAAGACGGGUGCCAGCCGCCGCGGUAACACCUGCGCCACAAGUGGGGAUCGCUUUUAUUGGGCCUAAAGCGUUCGUAGCCGGAUGGGACAGUCUUGAGUGAAAUCGUUGCGCUUAACAAAACGACGUGCUCGAGAUACUACUCAUCUUGAGACCGGGAGGGGUUAGGGGUAUUCCUGAGGGAGCGGUAAAAUGCUAUAAUCUCAGGAGGACCACCCGUGGCGAAGGCGCCUAACUAGAACGGGUCUGACGGUGAGGAACGAAAGCUAGGGGAGCAAACCGGAUUAGAUACGAGAAAUCGUAGAUUGAUGUGAUUAGCGAUUCUCGCUGAUUACCCGAGUCGUCCUAGCCGUAAACGCUGUGAACUAGAUGUUGCCUAUCCUUCGUGGAUACGCAUUGUCGAGGCGAAGGUAUUAAGUUCACCGCCUGGGAAGUACCGGUCGCAAGGCUGAAACCUAAAGGAAUUGGCGGGAGAGCACCACAAGGGGUGCGGCGUGCGGUUCAAUCUAACUCUACGCAGAGAAUCUCACCAGCAGCGACGGCAGAAUGAAGGUCAGGCUAAAUGUCUUACCUAACGAGCCGAGAGGUAGUGCAUGGCCGUCGUCAGCUCGUGCCGUAAGGUGUCCUCUUAAGUGAGGUAACGAGCGAGACCCAUACCUAUAAUUGCUAGCGGGUUCUUCGGAAUGACCGAGCACAUUAUGGGGACUGCUGUGGAAACACAGAGGAAGGUGUGGGCUACGGUAGGUCUGUACGCUCCGAAUCUGCUGGGCUACACGCGCGCAACAAUGGCGAGGACAAUGGGAUGCAACGCCGAAAGGCGAAGCUAAACCUCGAAACCUCGUCUUAGUUUAGAUUGAGGGUUGUAACUCACCCUCAUGACAAUGGAAUCCCUAGUAAUCGGGCCUCAUCACAGCCCGGUGAAUAUGUCCCUGCUCUUUGCACACACCGCCCGUCAAACCAACCGAGUUGGAUUUAGGUGAGAAGUAGCUUUCAGUUACCUCGAAUCUA
rnacentral:rRNA from 1 species